AACGAACGUUAGCGGCGCGCUUAACACAUGCAAGUCGAACGAGAAAGGGCUUCGGCCCCGGUACAGUGGCGCACGGGUGAGUAACACGUGGGUAAUCUACCCUCGAGCGGGGGAUAACGUUCCGAAAGGAGCGCUAAUACCGCAUAAGACCACACUCUCGAAAGAGAGAGAGGUAAAAGUAGGCCUCUGAAUUCACGCUUACACUCGAGGAUGAGCCCGCGGCCCAUCAUGGUAGUUGGUAGGGUAAUGGCCUACCAAGCCGAAGACGGGUAGCUGGUCUUAGAGGAUGAUCAGCCACACUGGAACUGAGACACGGUCCAGACUCCUACGGGAGGCAGCAGUGGGGAAUCUUGCGCAAUGGGCGAAAGCCUGACGCAGCGACGCCGCGUGGGUGAUGAAGGCCUUCGGGUCGUAAGACUCUGUGGGAGAGACGAAUAAGACGU
rnacentral:rRNA from 1 species